ensembl:lncRNA
AUGGAGUUUGUUAAAGAGGAGAGUGAAGAGAACACGAGAGAACCAGAAACCUGGAGAAUAAAACAAGAGGAGCCAGAAACCUGGGGAAUAAAACACGAGCCAGAAACCUGGGGAAUAAAACACGAGGAGCCAGAAACCUGGGGAAUAAAACACGAGGAGCCAGAAACCCGGGGAAUAAAACACGAGGAGACAGAAACUGGGAGAAAAACCAGAAACCGAGAGAAUAAAACACGAGGAGCCAGAAACCAGAAUAAGACACGAUCCAGAAACUUGCAGAAUAAAACACGAGGAGCCGGGAGAAUAAAACACGAGGAACAAGGAGCAUGAAGAGCCUGACCCACACCCCCCUCCCCAACAAGAAGGACAUCAUCAGGGAGCAAGGCUCCGUCAGGAAGUAAUGCGCCAUUUGUGAAGAACAACAGUGCAAAGGUUCAUUUUUUAAUAAGAUCUUUUAAUGUAGAUGCAAUGUCACCCAGCACAACCCUUAUUUGCUUUUAAGCUCAUCUGCGAUUACCGUAAUUGCAUUAAUGGUGUCUCUCUGUGUCUGCAAAACAGCCUCAUUCAGCACCGGGACGCACUUGUGCUGGGGACCUCGGGAAACUCCAUAGCCCCUGCAGACUCUGCGCUGGGAGUUUCGUCACACUGGUCUCCCGCAGACUCUGCAAGAAUAAGGACUAAACCAAUUGUACACUCAAAAAAAUAAAUUGUUGAUUGAACAUGAUUUUUUUCGUAGCACCCAUUAUGCAUCUAAUCAAAUCAAGUAAACUUGCACUGCUUCGAAUAAAAAUGUAGUUACAAAUAACAAGAAUGAAUCAUUUAACAUAAGUAAACGUGUUAUAUUCUUAUUAAUCAGACAUAUUUGUAUUUUGCAAAUCAAACAAGUGGCUAGUUGACUUUUUUGAGUGUAUAAUUUAUUUUGUUUUGGGUCUCCAUUGGGGACAAAUCGGGGGAGCCUUUGCCCCCACCAGUUGCACACACACUCUGUCGGUGAGAGGCAAGCCGUUUCUUUGCUCCCACCCUAAGAUCGGACCACUUCUUUUUUACAUCUGGAACCGUCCUGUUUGCCGAAGCAACUGCGUUUACCGCAGCAGUGAUGUGUUGCCACUCUAAAUAUUUUUUUUUUAUUGGUAAUUCCACUGCUGUGGCCACCAAACAAAAUAGCCUUCCUUUCAUCCACCUCACUCACAAGAACCUCUAUUUCUGCCUCAGAGAAAUUUCGGUUCUUGCCGUUGCUCUCCAUUGCUGCCAUGAUUUUGUUUUUAAAAAACACAAAUUUCCUUGCUCCUUUUAAUAUGCAUGGCCAAUGAGGUAAUUUGCAUUGUCUAUAAAUGGUUGAAUGUGGGCGGAUAAAGGGCUGUAAAUGAUUUUUUUUUUGCAUGCACAAAUUAUCAGGUAGGCUGUGAUUUAUAAAGUGGAAAUUGCGUGCAGGUGUGCUUUUUGGCUUUUGUGCGUACGCACAGUUUUAUAAAUGAGGCCCCUGGACUGCAGCCUGGCCAUUUCAGUACCCAGAUCCUUCUUCUAGGUUGUAAUUACAACAUAAGUUCAGACACAGCUGGAUGCAUUGCGGUAAUAAGAAUUUCAGAAGAAAAUGCAAUAAAAUGCAUAAAUAAUUCAUUCCUAUGUUGAAAUUACUCUUUGAGUAAGGUAGCGAACAGUACUGUCUUUAUUAUGAUCUUUUUAUAUAUUAUUAAAUUGCAUGUUUAAUAUUUAAACAGGUUCAUGAGAAUAUUCAACAUGUUCGUGACAAUGACCCGAUCUGUGAUGUGUAAUUAUUCGAGUUCAUACAUAUUGUAUUUGUCUCAAUGUUUUGUGUGUGUGUGUGUGUGUGUGAGAGAAUCAGUGACCAAACUAAACCUGGUUUCUCCCAAUGAUAUGAAUGUAAUAUGUUAUUUUUAAAUUGUUAAAUUAAAGAAAGUGAUCAAAGAACAAACCUUGUUUGCUGGAGCUGUCAGUGUGUGUUUAUUUUACAAACUGAUAUCACCAUCUAUUAACCUGUCAGUAUAAUGCAGUGUUUUUAGUUAUUUUUUUUGUACUGUGUUAAAAUAGGUGUUAUUUUAAAUUUACCAUUUUAUUUUG